AAAUGAAUAUAGUCUCAUCAGAAGCUUUCAUUGUAGCAAUGUUAUCAAAAUGGAAAGGAUGGAAAAGACGGAACUGAUGGAAGAGAUGGCAGAGAUGGCAGAGACGGACUUCGGGGUGAAACUGGACCACCAGGACCAAAGGGGGAAGCUGGAACCCCUUGUUCCCCUAGAAACGUGAAACAGUUUACAUGGACAGAUAUCAACGACGAUAGGGAUGUCGGUUUAAUCAAGGACGUGUGGUUUACCAAAACAACGGGAACAACCAUGCUCCGUGUCGGUUUCCAUGGUAAUGUCCGUAUCAUGGCAACUGCUGGAAAAAAUGAAGCCUGUCGCAGAUAUUGGUUUACUUUCAACGGCACUGAAUGUGACAGCCCAACGUUUAUAGAUGGACAGUUUUAUUCCAGCCAUACAUAUAAUGUUCACCAGCAUUCCACCAUUGAAGGAAUCUGUGAGAACCUGGCAGCCGGAGAAGUGGUGAUUGGUUUUCAUGUUGGGCAAUGCAGAAACCGUGCUUCUGAAACGGCCAAUGCAUAUACAGGAUGGGCCAGUGCUACCAGAAUUAUUGUGGAAGAGUUCUAAAAAUUGCCGAAAACGCGUGUUUUUUCAUUAUUUUUAUGCUAAUUUUAUCUACUGAAUUACAUGUAUGAUCAUGUAGGCAUAUGCCCCUUUACAGCGCUAGAUAACAAGCUUUUAUAGCAGGCCUGUGCCUCGGGAAUUCAAGGGACUACCAGUAUGCGAUAUUGGGCAACUUUUACUUCAUUCAGUAACUUUAUUUCACCAAUAAAAAAAUCCUCUCUGA